UUUUUUGUCUGAUAUUUUUCAUAGUUUAGAUAGAGACUCAUAACUUUACUUCGACUAAUAUCUACAGCAUCCAAACUGGUGCCUCUGGGUUUUGCUAGUCCGAGCCAACUCCAUGCUCGGAGGCAAGAGAUAAUUCAGAUAACAUCUGGAUCAAGAGAACUUGACAAAAUUUUAGAAGGCAAGUAUCAAAGAUUUCUUUCAACUCUUAACAACGAUCCUUUUACAUUAGACUGUGUUUUUGUAGCAAUGCUGCUUAAGAACAUUAGCACUUGCCAUGUCCUGUAGUGUUGUAACCUCAAACAGCUAGCUUUUGACAGGAGGGAUUGAGGCAGGAUCUAUUGCUGAGAUACAUGGUGAGUUCCGCUCUGGAAAAACUCAGCUGUGCCACACACUUUGCGUCCCUUGCUAAGUAAGAACAUUUUUUUCUUCGUGAAUAGCUUUGAAAUAAGAGAGAAGAGUUUAAUUCCAUUAUUUAGUUUUGCAUCUUCUGUUGCUUUAAAAGUUGAAGCAAAUAUUUAUGGACUGAAUAAGAAUAACCAUACAAAUCAGCGCAUAGCAAAAUGCCUUUUCAAGGUGCCUUGUCUACUUGUUUGGUUUCACACCAGAUGAAUCGAGUCUCUUAUCUUGUCGUGUACGCCAGCUUACCAUCUAUGGAAUGCUUUCAAUGUUUAUGUUAGCUAAAAUCAUCAACCUAGUGAUGCAAUCUAUUGGCGUUAACACAAGUUGCACAAGUUGACGGUUCUGCUAUUUUCGCUGGACCUCAAAUCAAGCCUGUUGGCGUUAACAUCAAGGCUCAUGCUUCUACAACAAGGCUUGCUCUUUGGAAGGGAGAGAGGAGGAGCGCAUCUGUAAAGCAACAUGUUCUCCUUGUUUAGCCGAAGUGGUUCCAGAUCUCUGCUAAAGGCGUAAUUGAUGUUCAGGAUUGAUCUAUUUUAGCUAUCAUCUCCCGGAAACUUUUUGAGGGGCGUUUUUUACUUUACGUAUUAGUAGAUCUGCAAGCAAGGGAUGCGAUAUCACAUCUAUGUAACUUUUUGGUUUCCAAUAGGAACGUUCAAGUUUUUAAGAGCUGUAACGAAGACUUGCAGGUCUUUUGAUGUUUGGUGACCGUUCUCUGUCACUUCUCUAAUGUUUUCUGUAAUUUUAGUGUAUCUUAAGCACUUAAUUGAGCACUUAAAACUAAACGUCAAUCUUAAGCA